rnacentral:rRNA from 1 species
AGUGACGUCAAGUCCUCAUGGCCCUUAUCGGUAGGGCUUCACACGUCAUACAAUGGUCGGUACAGAGGGUUGCCAAGCCGCGAGGCGGAGCCAAUCCCACAAAGCCGAUCGUAGUCCGGAUUGUUCUCUGCAACUCGAGAGCAUGAAGUCGGAAUCGCUAGUAAUCGCAGGUCAGCAUACUGCGGUGAAUACGUUCCCGGGUCUU